rnacentral:lncRNA from 1 species
CUGAAGACUACAUCAGAGAGACACUGACUUAAAAAAAAAUCAAGUUUUGUUCUAUGGAAGAAGACGUACAAAUGGGAAAUAUUACUCCAACAUACAAGUGUUGUCUUUAUAACUGGCAGCCUGCAAGCCCUGCCUUCACUGCAGUUCUGGCUCCAGGAUCUCCCAGGGAUGCAGCAAUGGAUUCUUUCUGUGUGUGCAAACCACUCACCCUGGACAUUCAGAGUGUAUCCGUAUGCAAAAUUUUGGCAGAAACAUCCUAGGAGCAAGCAGAGAAGAAAGGAAGAUCUGCUUUCUCAGAGCUCGAAAUUAACCUCCCCAAAUUCAGUAGAGAAAAUUCUCCGAAAUUACUACCCAACUUAAAAAAGAAAUUAACCCUUUGAUUGAGAAUGUGUGUUGAAUGGGA